rnacentral:miRNA from 1 species
CGCAAUACACAUGGUGUCAU